ACUGGGGUAAGACACAGGGAUGCCCUAGUAACGGCGAGUGAAGCGGCAACAGCUCAAAUUUGAAAUCUGGCCCUCGGGUCCGAGUUGUAAUUUGUAGAGGAUGAUUUUGGUUAGGUACCUUCCGAGUUCCUUGGAACAGGACGCCUUAGAGGGUGAGAGCCCCGUACGGUUGGAUGCCGAGCCUCUGUAAAUCUCCUUCGACGAGUCGAGUAGUUUGGGAAUGCUGCUCUAAAUGGGAGGUAAAUUUCUUCUAAAGCUAAAUACCGGCCAGAGACCGAUAGCGCACAAGUAGAGUGAUCGAAAGAUGAAAAGCACUUUGAAAAGAGGGUUAAAUAGUACGUGAAAUUGUUGAAAGGGAAGGGCUUGUGACCAGACCUUUGCCUUGCGGAUCAUCCGGUGUUCUCACCGGUGCACUCCGCUUGGUUGAGGCCAGCAUCAGUUUCGGCGGCGGGAUAAAGACUUCAGGAACGUGACUCCCCCGGGAGUGUUAUAGCCUGCUGUGUAAUACCGCCGCUGGGACUGAGGACCGCGCUUCGGCUAGGAUGCUGGCAUAAUGGUCAUCAGCCACCCGUCUUGAAACACGGACCAAGGAGUCGAACAUUUAUGCGAGUUUUUGGGUGUUAAACCCUCAAGCGUAAUGAAAGUGAACGGAGGUGAGAGCCCUUACGGGUGCAUCAUCGACCGAUCCUGAUGUCUUCGGAUGGAUUUGAGUAAGAGCAUAACUGUUCGGACCCGAAAGAUGGUGAACUAUGCGUGGAUAGGGUGAAGCCAGAGGAAACUCUGGUGGAGGCUCGCAGCGGUUCUGACGUGCAAAUCGAUCGUCAAAUCUGCGCAUGGGGCGAAAGACUAUCGA
rnacentral:rRNA from 1 species